rnacentral:lncRNA from 1 species
GGCAAAGGGGAAGCAAGGCAGGCCUUACAUGGGAGCAGAAGAGAGAGAGAGAGAGGGGAAGAGCCACACUUUUAAACCAUCACAUCUCAUGAUAAUUCAAUCACAAUCACAAAAACAGCAUGGGGAAAACGCCUCUGUUAUCCAAUCACCUCCUAUCAUAAGAAGGAGUUACUUCCGUCAGGGGUGCUCCAUACAUAAGUCCUGACACUAGAGCUGAGUUAACCACAGCCACCAGAAGUUGGGGACAGGGACUAUGUUGGCUAAAUAACUCAUUUGUGCUCUUUUGCGUUUUUUUGAUGGUGUUGUAUAUAAAAUUAUAUUUUUUUGUUCAUGGUUUUUGGGAGGAAUUUUGAAGAGAUUAAAAACUUCACUAUCAUGAGAAUAGACAAUCUAGAGCCACACUGUCCAGUAAGGGAGGCAAUAGCACCCUUUGGUGUGAGCGCUUGAAACCUGAGGAGCCUGAGUUAGGAUGGGCUGUAGCUGUAAAAUACACACCGGAUUCCAGAGGCAGCAAAGAAUAUUGAA